GAUGAACGCUGGCGGCGUGCCUAAUACAUGCAAGUCGAACGGAGUUGUUGUAGCAAUACGGCAACUUAGUGGCGAACGGGUGAGUAACGCGUUGGUGACCUGCCCCGAAGAGGGGGAUAACAGUCCGAAAGGAUUGCUAAUACCCCAUGUGGUUACCGGUUUUAGAAUCCGGCAACUAAAGUCGUAAGACACUUUGGGAGGGACCUGCGUCCCAUCAGCUAGUUGGUAAGGUAACGGCUUACCAAGGCGUCGACGGGUAAGGGGCCUGAGAGGGUGGCCCCUCACAAUGGAACUGAAACACGGUCCAUACACCUACGGGAGGCUG
rnacentral:rRNA from 1 species